AGAGUUUGAUCAUGGCUCAGGAUGAACGCUAGCGACAGGCUUAACACAUGCAAGUCGAGGGGCAGCGGGAGGAAAGCUUGCUUUUCUUGCCGGCGACCGGCGCACGGGUGAGUAACACGUAUGCAACCUGCCCAUGACAGGGGGAUAAGCGGGAGAAAUUCCGUCUAAUACCGCAUAACACCCCCGGGAGACAUCUCUCGGGAGUCAAAGGAGCGAUCCGGUCAUGGAUGGGCAUGCGGCGCAUUAGUUAGUUGGCGGGGUAACGGCCCACCAAGGCGACGAUGCGUAGGGGUUCUGAGAGGAAGGUCCCCCACACUGGUACUGAGACACGGACCAGACUCCUACGGGAGGCAGCAGUGAGGAAUAUUGGUCAAUGGGCGAGAGCCUGAACCAGCCAAGUCGCGUGAGGGAAGACGGUCCUACGGAUUGUAAACCUCUUUUGUCGGGGAGCAAUAAGGCGUACGUGUACGCAGAUGCGAGUACCCGAAGAAAAAGCAUCGGCUAACUCCGUGCCAGCAGCCGCGGUAAUACGGAGGAUGCGAGCGUUAUCCGGAUUUAUUGGGUUUAAAGGGUGCGCAGGCGGAAAGUGCAAGUCAGCGGUCAAACGACGGGGCUCAACCCCGUCUCGCCGUUGAAACUGUCUUUC
rnacentral:rRNA from 1 species